GGGAUCAAUGGUGAUGACUGGUGGCGAAUGAUUUUUGGAUGAUGAAAAAUACAUGUCUGGAUACUGAGGUCCAA